CAUGAAUUUUUAGUCAAUGACAAAUCAUAAUGAAACUUAAAAUCUUGAUGGAGCAUUUCAUGAAUAUCCCCAGCCUAUUAACUUUUCCAUCAAUUUUAUUGUCAUUUUAUAGGCUGGAAGUUGGACUUGUCUGGGACGUGUUUUCUCCCCCCUUUUUUGUGUGUGGGGGGCACAUUUACAACACUGAAGGAUGAUGUGGGAGGACCAGGAUCGAGGCUUUAAAAUGAAUAAAUGUAAGCACGUCUAAUUAUUUCUUUCA
rnacentral:lncRNA from 1 species